UCGCUACUACCGAUUGGACGUUUUGGUGAGGCUCAGGGAAUGCGGCACUUUAGGGUUCGCCCAGAAGAGCUGUGUGAACUGAAACAAACCUGAGCGUCUAGAGGAAGUAA
rnacentral:rRNA from 1 species